CUGACUUUUUUGUUGUCUUCUAUUCCUAGGUGCAUUGGGCAAUGAAGGAAUAUCCAAUGGAAAUUGCUCUGGAUGUCUCCAAUACGUGAGCCAGAAUUUGUUUAAAAGAAAAAAAAGAAAUCUGAAGAAAUCACUCCUGGUGCUAAUAUCUGACCUCUUCAUCCAAAAAGCAGCCUCCAUCUACUUCAAGAAGGUGCGAUAUGUCCAGACUAAGAAGGCCCCCUCAAGUGCACUGUCCUGCAGCCAGAAGUCUCAAUGCUGCACAGUCUGCAAUACCAAGAGACUGAGCUUUGGUCCCACCUCUGAAAUACUUCAUGUUGGACAGGCCCUCCCAAGCAGUAGUCACCAAGAGAGAGAGAGCGCUACAGUCCCAAGAGACCAGAGACUGAAGAAUCUGAAUUGUCAAAUACAGGGUUUGAUCCCAACAUUUAUUUGCCUGGUUAGUUUCACUAGGAGGCCUGUGGAGGCUUCCUAUACUUCUAUUUUGGGGGCGAGGGAAUGAAAUGGAGAUAGAAAAAUAGAAAGGGUUUGGUAGAACACAAGGAGACUGCCAUCUAAAUUCACGUCCUUCUUCUUUAUGUAAGAAGAAAUGAAAUGAGGGAAGAAAUGCCCCAGAUGCUGCCUAUUUUCAGCGAGUCAACUCUGCUUCGUCUUCCUCUCCCAGAGAAAAAGAGAAGCAGAUUUUGUAACAAUUUCAACUUUGACAUUUUUGUCUUAAGUCAGCGAGACAUUAAAUACCUGCUUUGUGAACAGAACUAUAUUGCUGGUUCCUCAGAACUUUGACUUGAAUUUUAGAACCUCUUUUCUAACAACAAAAUAAAUAAGAAAGAUACAUAAUAUUCAGGAAGGUGGCAGGAUCCAAAAACAAAAUCUAAGUUCCUUCUGCAGCAGUAAAUAUCUGAUAGGUUCAGAGUGUGCAGUUGGUAUAUGCAACAUCAGUGAUUUAACACUGCUGCAAGGAAAGAAUCAUCCUUGGUGCUGUGCUCAUGCCAGUAAGUAUAAAACCAUCCCCUUCCUACCUGGUCAAGGAAUUCAGAUGUGUAAAUGCCAGAUGGAGUCUUCUGUAGAGAACAAGUUCCUUCCUAGUUCAAAUUUAACUUUAUUCCUUGUCUUAUUUUGAUGCAAACACAUUGUA